rnacentral:rRNA from 1 species
UCUCUACAAGUACUGUGAAGGAAAGUUGAAAAGCACUUUGAAAAGAGAGUGCAAGAGAACGUGAAACCGUUAUAGUGGAAGCNGGAUAGAGCUGACGUAUCCAGUGCGCAUUCAGCCGCUUCGUGGGGCGAUCUGUCGGUUCGGAGUGCUGCAAAGUCUCCUGCCGGCAUUGUUGUUCUGCGAAGCGGUGCAUUUGCGUACAGAGUGCGCCGAAUCGGCCGAGCUCGCUGUUUGAGGGUCGCAUAGAGGACCGGUCUUCACGGAUCGGAACCCUGGGCGGCCGGAUGGCAGUUGAGUUUGGCCGUAAAAAGAGAUGGUUAUUCGCGGCGGUGGCGGGGAGUUAAGGUUGUGUUUGUACGAUGCAUGCGUUUUGCAUUCAUGACUUUGGCUUUUGGUCUUCGUUGCUCUUCUCACAAUUCGGUGUUUAGUCGGUCACCUAUUUGACCCGUCUUGAAACACGGACCAAGGAGUUUAAGGUGUACGCAAGUCAUUGGUUGUUGAAAGCCAUAGGCGUAAUGAAAGUGGGACACUCGGUGUCUGUGAUGUGAGCCGAUUUCGUUUCGACGGACUCGGCGCAACAUCGACCCAUGACUAGGACUUGUUCUGUUGUGGAGUCUGAGCGUACGCUUUGAGACCCGAAAGAUGGUGAACUAUGCCUGAACAGGACGAAGUCACGAGGAAACUCUGAUGGAAGUCCGAAGCGGUUCUGA